rnacentral:rRNA from 1 species
ACGAACGCUGGCGGCGCGCUUCACACAUUCCAGUCGAACGGAAAGGCCUGCUUUCCCUUGUGGAUUGCGGGUACUCGAGUGGCGAACGGGUGAGUAACACGUGAGUGAUCUGCCCCCAACUUGGGUAUAAGCCUGGGAAACUGGGUCUAAUUCCCGAUAGGACUGCAGGGUGGUGCCUGUGGUGGAAAACGAUUUUCUAGUGGUUGGGGAUAAGCUCGCGGCCUAUCAGCUUGUUGGUGGGGUAAUGGCCUACCAAGGCGGCGACGGGUAGCCGGCCUGAGAGGGUGGACGGCGACAUUGGGACUGAGAUACGGCCCAGACUCCUACGGGAGGCAGCAGUGGGGAAUAAUGCACAAUGGGCGGAAGACUGAUGCAGCGACGCCGAGUGGGGGAUGACGGCCUUCGGGUUGUAAACUCCUUUCGACAGCGAGGAAGCCACCUGGUUGGAAGGGUGGUGACGGUAGUGGUAGAAGAAGCACCGGCUAACUACGUG